UAUCUGAAAGGCUUUUUACAACGCCUCGCUUCAACCCUUACAUCUUUUCUCUCACAAUUUUACAAACAUAGCUUCAGCCGUUACAUCUCUCAAUUUGUCUCACAAUAAUCUUCCCAGCCGUUACAUCUCUCAAUUUCUCUCACAAUAUGAGUUUCCAUCAAUCUUCCCACAAAUCUCAAACAAUCCGCUGUGAAAUUGAGAGAUUUAGUCUCUCUCGCUCCUUCUCAAACAAUUGGCGCAGAAUCUUCCCACAAAUCUCAAACAAUCGGCUGUGUAAUUGAGAGAUUUAGUAUCUCUCGCUCCUUCUCAAACAAUCGGCGCAGCUUCAGUAUCUCAAACAAUCGGCUGUGUAAUUGGGAGAUUCAGUCUCUCUCGCUCAAUCUCAAACAAUUGGCGCAGAUUCAGUCUCUCUCUUUCAAUUUCCAUGGCACAAAUUUCAAUUUCCAUGGCACAAAUUAGGGAUGUGCUUCAUCCAUGGCUGCAAAAAAUUUGGGAGGUGCUUCAUCCAUGGCUGCACCCCACACUACAGAUCCAUGAUUCAAGGUAAGUAAUUGGGAGUGAUAGAUUUGGAAAGGCAAAUCAGCGGAUUUAAUCCUACUCAUACACCUUGAUUUUUUAUAUAAAUUCUUGGCAGGCUAUUCCUCUACAAGUGGGCUUUAGAAAUUGCAGAGAGAGGGAAAAGUUGCAGGUCAUUCUUCGUCCUUGGAGCAAGAACGGGUAGUUGAGGGAAACUUUACCAGUGCUUCUCCUGCUUGGGAUCCAGGAACUCCGGGAACCAUCAUGACUUAAUGACCUCUUCAAUUGUGUGCCCAUUUUUUUUAACUCAAUAAUUGUUGGAAGGUGAAGGAAUAUUUCAGUUUGAUAUACAUCCGCUAAGAUUUAGUUUGAUUGUUGCUUUUUGUGUGCUUCACUAACAGAGCACUCACGGAAACUGUGAAGCAAUCUCAAGAAGGUUGGGGUAGUUCUGGCGAUUAGAGUGAAAUCAAGGGUGCAUGGGUAUUGAGACCAAGAAAAUCCAAGAGAGUGUCAAUAGUACAUUUUAUAGGUGGCGUAUUCGCGGGUGCUGCUCCACAGCUUACUUACCGCAUGUUGGAACGUCUUGCGGAUAAUUUUAGGGAUCGGGAUGCUAGAGUUGCUCUUUCUGAUGGUAUUGAAGAAGAAGAUUCAAGAGCAUCAUCGUCUUAUUCCUCUCAUGAGAUUGGUGAGCAAGAGAAUGAUCGAGCCAUGGAAGGGCUUCACGAUAGUUAUUAGCUUGAUAUUUUAUCAUUCUCACAUUGAUCUUUAUUGAACUUCGCCAUGUGAAAAAAAAAAAAAAACAUAAAUAAAAUUAUACUUUUGAGAUGCAUUUAAAACAAA